CAAACAUGGCAACUAGGAAGAAGCGUUCUAAAGUUUGGUUGUAUUUCACACGACAAAAUGACAACAACGCCACUUGUAACGCGUGUAAAAAGUCUAUUUCGUCGAAGGGAGGAAAUACUACAAAUAUGAAGAAGCAUUUGAACACGCAGCAUGGAAUGAAGUUACUGGAACGUCAUGUGUUCGAUGCAUUCAGCAGCGCAGCUAACGUUCGCGCUUCAUCUCUAUCUAAAGCUCAGGUUUUGUAUAGGUGGAGCCAAAACCCGACCGAUCUACGUCACAGCCACCUAUCUACGUCAGAUCACAGACAGUUGCAUUCUGUUACUCAGCUGGUAUGAUGCAAAGACAAGGUAAUUAAUACAUAAAACACUCAGACUGCAGGUAGGUCUGUUCUGAUAUCUUCAAUUGAUUUAGCUAGUGUUGCUAAAUUCAAUAAAUUCAAGGGGGCGGAGUUUCAGCUCCUUCAGGCAGCACGCCCCCCCAGUCUCAAGCAGAGAAUACUGCUGAUUUUCUCAUGAUUUCAAAGCCUAAUUUAACAUACUUGUCUGUUUAUUUUUCAGUCGACUUUGGAUAGGUUGUUAACACAUUCUUCUGUGGUGUGAUGAACAUAAAACUCAUUUUCAAUUCCACUUUACAGCAUCUUUAAAUGCCUGACAUAGCUACGCGCGCUAGCGGGAAACUGUCCUGGUUGCUAGGUAGGCAGUUUUGUAUUUAGGCCUAUUUAGCCUACUCUAUGAUUUGAAGUUCUCACUCGUUAAAAAAGAAAAAAAAAGAACGCAAAGACAAUAACAUUUGUGUUUAGCUUCAAGUUGGUACCUUUUUUCGUCAACUUAUUUAGCAUCGAUUUUAACAGACUGGGAAGGCAACACCGAUAGUUCCGUGUUGCCUGGCGCGUUGCUGUCUCAGGAAUGUCGAACGAGUGAAAACUUAAAAAUCGUAGAGUAGGCUAAAUUGUUUUAAAUAGGUCCAAAAACAAAACUGCCUACCUCACAACCAGUGUAGCAACCAGGACAGUUUCCCACUAGCGCGCGUAACUGUCAGGAAUUUAAUGUUGGCAUAGCGACGGACGCGUCCUUGCAUCAGAACGUCAUUGUGAUGUCAGGCCCAGACAGUUUUUGGCAUGACACCUCCAUUGCAUCAUAGAGGCAUGGUUUCCACCUCGCCCUAAAAAUCUGGAACACAAACAUUUUGAAAAACUGUUUAACGGUCUUACACCAUGUCCUAACUGGAUGCGAGCGUCCGACUAUUGCGUCGCAUCGGAGACUGAAUCCGUAAAAUUCACUUAUUUUGCGUCAUAAAAAUUUAACAAUUUUCAAAGAAAGGUCUGUACCUUUCCUACCUGUGCACUUCUGAUCCUUAGUACCGUAUUUUACGGUAAAUAAGCCGCAUCGUGUACAAGGCGCACCCCCCCAGAAUGAGCACUUUGUGUUUGUAAAUCUGAGUAUAAGCCGCACUUUAUAAGCAAACAAUGUUACAGUUGCAUGGCCCAAUGCUGACAAAUGAUCACUUGCACAUUCAUGCUAUGGCUGCGGACAGCGAUCUAACUAGACAACAUUCCCAUUCAGGGUGAACAAUCAAAUUAUCUAAACUAUAGACCAUAGCAUUACGCAUAUCAAAACAGAACGAACACAACAAUAAAACUCCAAACAAUGCUUAUUUAACUAAGCUAAUACCCUUAACUUAGUAGCUUUUCAGCUUGCCGCAGGGCAUUCUGGGAGCAAUGCACGAAUAUAGGCGAUCUUACAGCAUUGUGUAACACACUUUGGUUGUGGAUAGUAUGUCCAGAAAUAAAUCCAAGUCACUAAUUUAGUGGCAGAAUCCAUUGUUAUGUCUACAAAAUUAUUUAGAUAUAUUAUAAGUUUAGCUAGCUUGCAAAUCCUGAGGAUAGCCUACUGUAGCAGACCUUUCUGUGAGACAACAGACAAUGGUGUUUUGUCCCUCGGGAGUUGCCGUAGGCUUGAUGCUGAAAGCAUUACGUGAAAUCAGUGAGGGCUGUUCGAAUGGCGAUGUCAAGAAGAGAAGUGGUAAAAUACAAUUUAUGAAAAGAGACCGCGUCCUUGUCUUAUUGUCCACACUAUCAUAUACAAUUAUAUCUAAAACAAACUUACAAAGAGCUCGGUUAGACUACCAAAGUUGAAUUAGUAAUGUUGUUAGCGAUGCUAGUGUUAUUUUGCUAGCUAGCCUAGCCUAUAACAUUUCACUGGGUUUGCAGCUGUUUGAUUAACUGAAAUGAUUAUGAAAUGUCAUGUUCUACUAGCCAUUUGCCUACUAUAGCAAGUCACUGCAUUUCCGAGCCCUGAUAGUGUAACUGAGAAAACAGUAAAUAAUUCCUCUUUCAAGUAAUAAGCCCCCGUUCAAGUGUUGAGCAUAAAAUUAGCUGCUCGGUCAGUAGAGAUCUUUAGAGAAGCCACUUUUUUUUUUUUUUUUGCGGACUAUAAGCCGCUUCGAAAUAUAAGCCGCACAAGCACAAGAAAACUGUAAAAAUCGGAGUACAAGCCGCGGCCUUUCCGUAAAUACGGUAAUCUGCUGUACUUACUAGAUGCACCAUUUUAGUUGUAUACCCAUACCAGCAAGUACUAAUUUAUUAGAUUUAGCCAUUGCAGCUGCCGUUUGCAAAGCCAACCAAUUGUUGAUUCUCUGUUCAAACAAGACCUGUGAGGUGUGUUCAGCCACAUCAUAACCUACCUUUGGUCUCCUUGAUAACGAUGGCAUUGAGCAGACCCUUGCCCCUGACUGCGGUCACUAUGUCCUUGGGGAGCUUGUUAAGCUCGGACCUCAACAGCUGACCCAUCCUCUCUGCAUUCUCCGCCAGCUUCUCCUCCUCGAGGACCUGGGGAAAAUACAUGCAAAUUAAGUAUGGGUCUCUAUCUGCAAGGUUUAAAUAAAAAUGGAGGCGCUGAUAGAUGGAGGGGCAAUAACGGCAUUCUCGUUCUGACCUCUAGGGCGGCGAUGGCCACGCGGCAGGCCAGGGGGUUGCCGCCGUACGUGGAGCCAUGCUCACCGGGCUUGAUGGUGAGCAUCACCUCGUCAUCACACAGAACUGCAGACACCUGACAGAGGAUACGACAAGUCACAUCAGUGACAACCAUAAAUGGACUUAAGUUUGUUGCUUUUGUUCAAAAUUAAAGUAUAACAAUUU